UACAGAGGGGGCAAGCGUUGUUCGGAAUUACUGGGCGUAAAGGGCGCGUCGGCGGCCUUCUAAGUCGAACGUGAAAUCCCCGGGCUCAACCCGGGAACUGCGUCCGAUACUGGAAGGCUUGAAUCCGGGAGAGGGAUGCGGAAUUCCAGGUGUAGCGGUGAAAUGCGUAGAUAUCUGGAGGAAUACCGGUGGCGAAGGCGGCCCCCUGGACAAAGACUGACGCUCAGGUGCGAAAGCGUGGGGAGCAAACAGG
rnacentral:rRNA from 1 species